rnacentral:rRNA from 1 species
AAUCAACGCUGGCGGCGUGCCUCAGACAUGCAAGUCGAACGCUGCUGUUCGCCUUCGGGUGGACAGCGGAGUGGCGCACGGGUGAGUAACACGUAGGUAAUCUACCUUUGGGUGGGGAAUAACAGCCGGAAACGGCUGCUAAUACCGCAUAAUGCAGCGGCAUCACAUGAUGACAGUUGUUAAAGCGGGGGAUCGUAAGACCUCGCGCCUGAAGAGGAGCCUGCGGCAGAUUAGGUAGUUGGUGAGGUAAUGGCUCACCAAGCCUGCGAUCUGUAACCGGCCUGAGAGGGCGGUCGGUCACACUGACACUGACAUACGGGUCAGACUCCGUACGGGAGGCAGC